UACGUAGGGGGCGAGCGUUGUCCGGAUUUAUUGGGCGUAAAGAGCGUGUAGGCGGUUCGGUAAGUCUGGCGUGAAAUCCUGAGGCUCAACCCUGGACGUGCGAUGGAUACUGCCGGGCUAGAGGAUGGUAGAGGCGAGUGGAAUUCCCGGUGUAGCGGUGAAAUGCGCAGAUAUCGGGAGGAACACCAGUAGCGAAGGCGGCUCGCUGGGCCAUUCCUGACGCUGAGACGCGAAAGCUAGGGGAGCGAACAGG
rnacentral:rRNA from 1 species